rnacentral:sRNA from 1 species
GGCUCACCCCCGCGUGGCGCGGGGAAUUC